rnacentral:rRNA from 1 species
UACGAAGGGGGCUAGCGUUGCUCGGAUUUACUGGGCGUAAAGGGCGCGUAGGCGGACAGUUAAGUCGGGGGGUGAAAGCCCGGGGCUCAACCUCGGAAUUGCCUUCGAUACUGGCUGUCUUGAGUACGGGAGAGGUGUGUGGAACUCCGAGUGUAGAGGUGAAAUUCGUAGAUAUUCGCAAGAACACCAGUGGCGAAGGCGGCUCACUGGCCCGCAACUGACGCUGAGGCGCGAAAGCUAGGGGAGCAAACAGG